GGAGACCGGAGCAGGGAAGUGGUGAGAGUUAUGCUGAAAUGAACGACACCAACCGAGAGAGUCUAUGGAGGAAGAAGGGAAGAAGGCAGAGGACAGAAAACACUACAUCUCCAAAGUCAGGCCAGCAGAAGAGAAACCAGUGAGAGAAACUGAGGUCAGAGAGGCCGGAGCAGAACCAGGAUAGCCAAGGGAGGAGAGACUCAUCAGACUCAGCUGCUACUGAGAAGGCGUCUAAGUUUGGGUUUCCCAAAAAGAAGAGCCUGAGCUUGGAUUUAACAAAGGACUGUAGACUACCGAAAGUUCUUCUCAGCCUCCUACCUCUUAGUCACUCUCUCCUGCUGAGUAUGGCUGCCUCUCACAAAUCGAU
rnacentral:lncRNA from 1 species